CACAUCAGCACAGCAUCCUCUGGUCCACGGGUCAGAAUUCAAGAACAUCAGGAAAUGAGUCACCGUCACUGACCGAUGUCCAGAGAACAAUAUCAUCAAGCAAAGGCUACUUAGAUAAAUAACCUUUUAAGGACAGGAUGUGAGAUCCACAACCAGGGGUGAUGUUUCCUCAGCUGAGGGAUGAGGUAGUGGGUGACGAACCCCACCGUAGCAGCCAGAGCGUACAGCACAAUGGUCACAAAGGGCUGCGGGCAGGAACGUCCACGGAGGCACAGAGAUGCCAGGCAUGUGAAACACACACUCACAGCAGGACGGACGGGUCGCUGCUCUGUCGACUCAGGUGGUAGGAGAAGACCACCAGGAGACCACAGAAACCAGAGAACAGAGCUGGAGUGUGCUGCUCAUCCCAGGGCUC